CCUGCAGUAGAGACAGAUUAGCUAAGGUUACAUCUUAUCAAUUCCCAUUUCAAAGACUAUAUUAAAUACUGAUCGGAUAUAAUGAAGAUUUCCUUAUGAUUUGUUCCCAAACACCAAGAGCAAUUGAGAGUCCAUAUACCAAGAAUGAGUUACAAAGACGACCAUUGUAUGGUGAAACCAUUGUAUGCUGAGACCAAAACUCUAUGGAAACCUGGUAAUUGGUUCUGAAGCCACCAACAUGUCAUCCGAAAAUAGGAAAAGACAAAGUUCGAUGAAUGAAAUCAUAAAAUCUGCCAUUAGAAAGAACUGGCGGAUAAUUGAUGAGGACCCUGUACUUGCAGAGAAGGCACAACACAAACUGAUGGUCUCUUUAGUCUGGGGCAGAAUGGAUACCUCUACCUCCAGGAACUGGUUAUAAGAUGCGAUUCCCAAGGGUAACCAUAAAUGCGCAAGUUGCCGUUGCUGUGGCAAUUUUCUGGAGCCACAGUUUAUCCGGCUAGGUCAGACUGAAUUGUGUAUUUCAGAUUUCUUUACAUGUAGAACAGCAUAUGUGGUGUAUGCAAUCGUAUGUGACUGUCACAGGUUUUAUAUUGGUAAAACCAUCCAACCACUAUUUAAAUGAACAUGUAUGAUCACUGAGAACAAAGAUAGGAUCUCCUAAACUAAUUAGUCAUAUGUGUGACACUCAUAACUUGGACCCAAGAUGCAUGAAGUUUUUAGGAUUAAAAAGGGUUAAUGUUCCCCCACAUGGAGGAGACCGCCACCAACAAUGGUUGCAAUGUGAAACAUCAUUGAUACUAAGAGCAGGGGCGUUAGGCCCACUUGGUCUCAAUGAACGGAAAGACAUUAGUGUCUUCUCUACUAUGUAACACUGUAUGUUGGUGUUGAUAGUAAUUAUUGUCGCAACAAAAAAGAAGAGAAGAAUAAUCGGCAACUCACCACGGCCAGCUGAGUAUAUCUUCUUUUAUUGAUUCAUACUCACAAACAUCUCAUUUGGGAAGAGGGUAGUGGGGGGACACAGGAUGGCGACCAAGCUCCGUUUCGCACGAUGUUCGUGCUUCCUCCUAUGGCCGAUUAUGGUGAGUUGCCGAUUAUUCUUCUCUUCUUUUUUGUUGCGAUUCCAUGCACUAUUGCUAGUCAGAGCACCACCCCCAGCAAACUAUAGUCCUGGUCUGCCGUGUCAUCAUCGUUCUGCACCUGAAGGGAUAGUAGUGCCGCGCUGUCUGUCUAUGAACUGUGUCAUAGUAAUUAUUGUGCUUACAUGUUCCUCCACCUGUCUAUUUGGUUUUAUAUAUGUGCUUACAUAUUGUUUUUAAUGUCCACUUUUCUACUAUUGUUAAUGUCAAUAAAGUUAUUGUGAACAGGGAGUAUUUAAGGGGAGGGGAUCUCAUUUAGAAUCAGCCUGUGAAGAAGAUGUAAAGAGCGAAACAUUUGUUGCCUGUGCACUGUACUUUGCUGCCAAUAAAGUUAC